AAGUAACGGAUCCUUCCUACAACACCAAAACAGUUUCUGCGGGAGUUCCGAAGCCAGCGGUUUCGGAAAUGUGGCGAAGAGGCUUUACCAGCAGCUACACACCCCCUGCGCAAGCACUAAAGGAGAAGAAAUGGGACGCAUUGGUGAUCGGCGGUGGGCAUAAUGGCUUGACAGCCGCGGCUUACUUGGCUCGUGGCGGCUUAUCCGUUGCCGUGAUCGAGCGACGCCACGUCAUCGGUGGUGCAGCCGUAACCGAAGAAAUUAUUCCUGGCUUCAAAUUCUCUCGCUGCAGCUACCUCCAAAGCCUCCUCCGCCCCUCCGUUAUCAGAGAGCUAGAAUUAAAGAGGCAUGGCUUGAAGUUGUUGAAGCCGACAGCGACGUCGUUUACGCCAUGUCUUGAUGGGCGUUACCUUCUAAUGGGGUACGAUGAUCAUCAUAACUACUUGGAGAUAUCAAAGUUUUCGAAACGUGACGCGGACGCUUAUCCCAGCAGAUAUGAAAAUCAGCUAUAUAAGUUCUCUAAAUUGAUGGACUUUCUUUUGGAUUCACGUACCCCUGAAACCUUGCACUGGGAUUCAUCAUUUAUUGAUCGUCUGCGGGAUAAGUUAGAGAAAUCAGUGUUUUGGGCUUCCUGCCUGAGGCAUAUUUUAGCUUUGGGGCAAAAGGAUGUGGUGGAUUUUAUGGACCUUUUAUUGUCCCCUACAUCAAAGGUUCUAAAUAAGUGGUUCGAGAGUGAUAUACUGAAGGCAGUACUUGCUGGAGAUGCCAUUAUUGGAAGUAUGGUAAGACCUCCAUACUUAUUAAUGGCCAGCAUUCAUACACCUGGCAGUGGAUAUGUUCUACUACAUCAUGUGAUGGGUGAAACUGAUGGUGAUCGUAAUAUAUGGUCGCAUGUUGAAGGUGGGAUGGGCUCUAUAUCCAUGGCCAUAAGUAAUGCUGCAAGCGAAGCUGGGGUUUCUAUUGUGACAAAUGCAGAAGUGUCACAAUUAAUGAUUGGAGAUUCUGGUACAGUAAAAGGGGUGUUGCUAGCUGAUGGGACAAGAGUACAUUCUUCAGUUGUUCUAUCGAAUGCAACCCCUUACAAGACCUUCCUGGGAUUGGUGCCUCAAGAUGUUCUUCCUGAUGAUUUUCUCCGUGCUAUCAAGUACUCUGACUACAACUCUGGAACCACAAAAAUCAAUGUAGCUGUUGAUAAAUUGCCCCAGUUCCAUUGUUGCAGAUCAAAUAAUCCAGAAGGGGGUCCUCAGCAUACAGCUACUAUUCACAUUGGUUCUGAAAGCAUGGAGGAGAUAGGAUCAGCUUGUCAGGAUGCUUGGAAUGGCUUACCUUCAAAACGGCCUGUUAUGGAGAUGACAAUUCCUUCUUCACUGGACAAGACUAUUUCUCCUCCUGGUAGAGUGAAGUCAAUCUUCCUUAUGCCUCUCUCCAUUCAUGAUGUAUUCAAUUUUUUUUUAAUGAUUUUGUCUUUGAAUCAUGCUGCUAUUCAAAAGGUAUGUUUUUCCCAAAAUUUCUAAUCAUUGUCAACUUCUUAAGCUUAAAUACACUGCUUCAUUCUCUAUUCUUCUGACUUAUUCAUUAUAAUGCAUAUGGAGGGAAGCAUAUCUCUCUGAGAUACAAGGAACAAUGAGGAUCAAAACAAAGUAGGGGUAAUCAAUCCUAAGGUGAACCCGACAGAAAUGCAAGGAGAAAUGGUUAUUUCAAAAAUAAUCUUGUGGUGUUUAUCCCCAUAGUGAAGUUAAUUUUGAACAAAACAUUCUAUGAAUUGAUAGAUUCCAGUCUUCUUUUCUUUUACUAGAAAUCCUAAGGUGAACUAAACACUUUUCUUUCGUUCUUUCUUUCUUUGGUGGGUUCAACCUGCAAGGGGGAGCUUAUUGGAGAGGGACAACGUACGAUUAUCAGUUGAUAAAGAAUUUAAUGAAAGCAUGUGGUUAGCUUGUUCACCCAAUACACGCCUUAUAAACCCUCCGAUGGUAGUUGGGAAAAUCCUACAUACCGAGAAUCAUAUGCACAGAGAUGCUUUAGCUUGAUUGAUGAAUAUG